GUGAGUCAUCGAAUCUUUGAACGCAAAUUGCGCUCGAGGCCUCGGCUAAGAGCAUGUCUGGCUCAGCGUCGGCUUACUACCCUCAAUCAAUUACCUUGUGAUGAUUGGUUGGAGCUGGCUUUCCGGUGUUCCGGUUAGGUUGCCGGUCAGCUGAAAAACAUUCGUGCUGUGGGAGUCGCUUUCCCUUCAAAAGGAAAGCCGAGUUCCGAUUUGGUAGGUGACCUUUGCCGGUUGCAUGCCUUCGUUGCUCGUUUUGGCUUUCAUGAUAGCGUGUGCAGGACGCCUUUUUGGCUUUCGACC
rnacentral:misc_RNA from 1 species